UGGAGCCUGAGGUUGGAGGAGCCCUGAAGACUGUUUCCCUUCAGACUGGUCACUGGAUCAUGGCCAGAUAUGAAGAGGAAAUGGAUCUCAUUUUUGGUGAGAAAGCCUUGCAUUCUAUAUUUUUUUACCUGACACAGUGUGUCAAUGAUUACAAGCUAUAUUUUUGAAUUUUUAAAAACUUAUAUUAUGUUUUUUUUGCAUGUGCAAUAUACUAUUUAUUUUUCUCUCCUUUUUAUAUUUGAAGCACAUGCCACCAGCAUUAAGAUUUUCUUUAACUUUAUGAAUUUGCAGUAAUUUAAGUUUAAGAUACAUUUGCGAAUGCAUGCCCCAAAAGCUUGAGACUAUAAAUGAUGCCACUAAUUAUUUAAAAAAAAAACUAUGGGACUUUGCUUAAUAAUUCUAUCUGAUUCCAGGACAAGAUACACACGAAAGAGCCAUUGCAUAAGGCCAACAAUAAGCCAAUCCAGGAUAGAUUAAUGCACUUCUAAGCCAAUGCAAAGGUUUUGAACCUAGUGUGAAGACUCCAGGUUACUGUGUUUAAUAUUGUUAGACAUAGGCUUUCCUUGUGUCCACACUCACUCUGAAAAUACUCACAGACGAGUAUCCCCAAACCUUUGUUUCUAGAAUCUGGUCCCGUUUCUGUCUUUCAUAGUGUGAUACCUUUCUGUAGUUCUGGCUAUUGACUGGGUAAAUGCAUAAUUGCUUAGAUUAUUUUAAUUGGGCCCUGAUUCAAGGACCUGUUAUAGAUUUAUUUUUCCUUUACUUAGAAUUUUUACACAUAAGACUUUGAUAGUCUAUAUUUUCAUCCAGUAUUUUCUUUUUUAAUUGGAUUUUUCUGAUAUCUUUUUAAUUUCUCUUACCAAUUGAUUUGUAUACCUCAUACCUCAGCCAUGCAUCCCUAAGUGAUCCUGUAUUUUUCAAUCACCCACAACAUGGGGAAAUGUAAAAAAUAUUAUUAUUUAAAUUGCAAAGUUUUAAUUCCUUUUAAGAAGAAUUUUAGGUAAAGAAAGAUGCUACUUCUCCGAAUCCAGAAACUGAACUGUUGGAGAAGACACCAUGAAGAAGCCUCCAGACAAUAAGCUGCACAAGAAGAUCAAGAAUGAACUUUGGGUGUAGUUGAUUGAACAUUUAUUUGUAUGUAUACGUUCAUGCCAAAGGGGACUGUCCCUUAACUGGCUUUUUGUCAAUGCGUCCAGCAAUUAUUGGUUUUGUCUUUUUUUUCUCUUAUCCUCAAAUUACUGUAAUUUUUAAAUUGAUUAUGUUUUUAUGAUCCUUUGGGGAAGUCCUUCCCAAAUAAUCACACGGAGAAUUGUAAAAAUGGAGACUUGAACUCGGGACUCCAUUUCCCAGGAGUUCUUGCUCACUUCCCAAAAUGCCUUGUAAUCUCACUUGGGCUGAGAGCAAGAUGGGGUAUUUAACCUGGCUGUAAAGGCUACUGGGUCUCUUUUUCCUACUUCCACUUCGGAGCAGACGCGUCUCUUUCAUGAUGUAGGUGAGGUUGUCUAGGCCACUCUGGGCUUAGACACAUGCCCUCUUAUUCUGUAUUUCACCUUUAAUAAACCUCAUAAAAAUAUAA